UUUCUGCGGAGCCUCAUUAUAAAAACUUGCAGUCCUAAAGAAUCUUGUUUUGGAGUUGCUAAAAUGAACAAUAUGCUUUAUUGUGUGUUUGUAUGUUUCUAAAGGAAAAAAGAUAUGCCCCCUUUUCUUUACUGGAAAAACCCGAGUUUAAGCCAACUUGGUUUUACUCUCUAAAUAUUUAAAUCUCUUUUUUUUCUCUAGUCAUUUCUGAUGAUUCCUCUACUUUUUACUGAUAGAGUGGUAGAAUCUGAAGACACAUGUUGUAGAUGCAGCUGGUUGGUGACUCUUGAGUGCGAUUUAAAUUCACAAGACCAACCCUAAAUGGAGUGGGCAAGUGGCCAAAUUACAAAGUUCUAUGCAUCUACAGGAAUACACAAGAUAAUUAGGGAUUCUAAUUAGAAAAGUGAUAUAUUGUUAUGGAAUGAGCUCCGAGCUUCUGGAAGCUCAUUUGAAAUGUUAAAUUUCUUUGGAAGGUCUUUAUGUUUUCUUUUCAUAUGAGGACCCAAAUUCCUUUUGCAAAAAUCAGUUUUAAGUUAUACCUUUAACAUGACUGCCCUUAAUUAAUUUUCAGGGCUCAAGAACUAUGAAUUUUGGGUUUAUCCUAUCAAUUUAAUUCCCAAAUCCUGGUAGAUGUCCCAAAAAGAAGAAAAGAAAAAGCAUAAAACUCCAUACUCAAAAGUGCCCAUUAGUCAGCUUUCAGCAUGCCAAGUUGUCAAGUGAUACGACAGUUAUGAUCUUUGAAGCUUUCAAAAAAAGCUGGAGAACUUUGUGUGAAGAGCUGGAUUUUAUGGCUUUUGUCUGUGCCAAAGGGAUUGUCCAACAGAAAGUACCCUGAUAUUGCAUUUUUUACAAAUUGAAAGUUUGUGGAAACUCUGCAUGGAGCAAGUCUACUGAUGCCAUUUUCCAAUAGCAUGUUCUCCUUUCAUGUCUCUGUGUCUCAUUUUGGUAAUUCUCACAAUAUUUCAAACUUAUUAUUUCUGUUAUAGUGAACUGUGAUCAGUGAUCAUCGAUGUUACUGUUGUAAUUAUUUUGGAGUGCCAUGAAUCACACUCACAUAAAACAGUGAACUUAAUAGGUAAAUAAUGUGUGUGUUUUGAUAGCUCCACCACCUGUCCUGUUCCUCCAUCUUUCUUCUUCUCCAUAAUUUUUCUUCCCCUCCUUGGCGCCCCCCCGCCUCCAUUCUCCAAGACACUACAAUAUUGAAAUUAGGCCAACUAAUAACCGUAAGAUGGCCUCUAAAGUGAUCAAGUGAAUGAAAGAGUCACAUGUCUCUCACUUUUAAUCAAGAGCUAGAAAUGACUAAGUUUAGUGAGGAGGACAUGUUGAAAGCCUAGACAGGCUGAAAACUAGGUCUCUUGUGCUAGAUAGUUAGCCAAAUUGUGAAUGCAAAAUAAAAGUUCUUAAAGAAGAUUAAAGGUGCUACUCCAGUGAACACACAAUUGAUGAGAAAGUGAAAUGGCCUUACUGCUAGUAUGAAAAAGAUUUGAGUGGUCUGGAUAGAAGAUUAAAACCAGCCACAUAAUUCCUUUAAACAAAAGCCUAAUCUAGAGCAAGGCCCUAACUAUCUUAGUUCUGUGAAGGCUGAGAGAGGUAAGGAAGUUGCAGAAGAAAAGAUUGAGGCUAGCAGAGGUUGGUUCACGAAGUUUAAGGGAAAGCCACCAUCUCCAUAACAUAAAAGUACAAACUGAAACCACAUUGCUGCAACAAGUUACCCAGAAGAUCUAACUAAAAUAAUCCAUGAAGGUGGGUGGCUACAUUAAACAAUAGGUUCUUAAUGAAGAUGAAUGUCUUCUAUUGGAAGAAAUGCUGUAUAGGACUUGCAUAGCAAGAGAAGAGAAGUCAAUGCCUGGUUCAAAUCUCUGUUGGACAGGCUUACUCUCUUGUUAGGGGCAAAUGCAGCUU
ensembl:lncRNA